rnacentral:rRNA from 1 species
UACGAAGGGGGCUAGCGUUGCUCGGAAUCACUGGGCGUAAAGCGCACGUAGGCGGAUUGUUAAGUCGGGGGUGAAAUCCUGGAGCUCAACUCCAGAACUGCCUUCGAUACUGGCGAUCUUGAGUCCGGGAGAGGUGAGUGGAACUCCGAGUGUAGAGGUGAAAUUCGUAGAUAUUCGGACGAACACCAGUGGCGAAGGCGACUUACUGGACACAUAUUGACGCUGAGGUGCGAAAGCGUGGGGAGCAAACAGG